rnacentral:lncRNA from 1 species
ACCCCUCCCCUGUGGGGACGAAGCAACCUCCGAUGUCUGUGCUCGGGCCAAAGUCGUCGAGCUGGCCCUGGGAGCCACCCCGGUUCACAAGAGCCAGAUGGAGUCACUCUGAACCCUGAGCCGCCUUCCGGCGGCUGCGCACCUCUGCUCCAUGAUCUCUUUGUUCAGACUGUACCCAAGUACGGAUGGGAGCAGACAUGGGGUCUCUCCGCAUCCCAGCUGAAUGUCAGGACCCAGAGAGCAAAGGUCUGAGUGAGGCCAGGCCUGGGGACUCUCCAACAAUGUCCGUGUCACCAGCAGACUUUGCCGGGCCAGCAGCGUGGCCCAACCGGAGGGAGGCCUGAGAGCUGGGCAGUGCUGUGACAUCCCACAAAACGUGAGUCAAGGCAGCACUGGCUCUCAGGGGGCAGCCUGGGGCAUC